UGUCUUCUUUGAUUAGGACCAGGGUGUUC
rnacentral:sRNA from 1 species